UGUUAUUUUAGAAUGGACUAUGAAUCUAAGUGUGCUUGAUGAAAGGUGCAAGCUGUUUUUAUGCACAAAUUAGAAAACUCAGUAGAAACAUAUGCUGUUGUUAUCCCCAAAAUACUGAGUCACUUUCAAUUUCACUUUUUAAUUCAUUGAAGCCGUUUUGUCAUGUUGAAACAUCCAAACAGCCUGAAGAAUGUCGCAAUGUUUUUUCAAUAACAUGCACACAAGCCACAAUGCUCAUGUAUGUGCAUGGCUUGUUCCUGCAUGAAAAAAUACAGUGCAUUUAUAUCACUUGAUUACGGCUUAAGAGGAAGCUUUAGUACGGGCCCUCCUACCUAAAUACAUGUAAAAGGAAAAUUCGUUUUUCUCGGAAACCAAUGCACCAAACUCGACAAGAUCUAAAAGAAAAACUUACAGUCUAGUGACUGUUGGUUUCAAAUCUUUUAUUUAGGUCGUCAAUCUUGUACUAAAAAUUGGCAAAAAUCGUAAAUUUUCAGAAAACGAAACUAUGAAGUUUACAACUUCGUAACUCGGCAAUGAAAAAUGUCGCAAUUCUGUGAACUUCAUCUCACAGUACAUCUAAAGCGGACAAAAUUGAUACGUUACACAUUAAUUUCAAAAAAUUCAUUAAUAUGCAACUAAAGCUUUUGCAGAACCCUUGUACACAACGUAACAAAUUCACAUAAUAUAUAAAUUGAUAUACUGAAUUCGUCCGCUUUGAAUGAUCUAGUGGAUGCCGUUCACAGAAUCGUGAUAUCUGUGUCUGAUGCAGAGCUGUUAAUUUGUAAAAUUUGUGCUUUAUUUCUUUAAAACUGCCAAAUUUUUGAAAAUUCUAUAAACAAGAAUAAGGCCCUAAAUCGCAAUUCCGCUGCCAAUAGUCACUAUAAUUCAAUUUUCUCUCUCAAAAGCAACAAAUGUCAUUAGAAUCGGUCCAAGGGUCACCUCAAAAAAGUGUUUUUACGUUUUACAUGUAUUUGAAUAGGCCGUGUCGGAGUUGGGCUAGAGGUAAAACUUUCUCUUAAGAGAUUGCAAAAGGUAGGUAUUGUGUCUGGCUAGAAUGACUGAUUACAGUCCUGAGUAAACAGAAGGCCGAGUCACUAAGACAGCACGGUGCCAAAGAUCACACGAGAAGAGCUUGUGGAGAUAUGUCAUCCACACGUCUUUGCAGCACGGUGAUCCUGCCCUGCAUUGGCAGCAUAGGAGAUCACGCUAUUCUGAGCACUUAACCUCAGUGAUUCAGUGCCUACAGCAUUCUGCUGCUGAGCACAAGGUCAUGGGUUCAAUUCCUGGUUGCUGUGGCCACAGGUUUAUAUGAGUGCAAUGCAACUAUACAUGUGCACUCAAAAUGAAAUGCACAUUAAGGAGCCCCAAGUGACCAAAUUUAAUCUGGAGGCCCGGCCCCCACUUGGGAGUUUCUCAUAGCUGCAGUCUUUGGCACUUUGAGCCAAAUAGAUGAUUAUCAUUGAGCACUAACACAUUAGGCUGGUGGACCACAAAGAGAGGCACUGUGUUCCAGCAAGUAAUGCUGACAGAGAAGCAUGAUGGAUCAACAAGUUCUUGUGAAGGGAAAUUUAGUAAUAUCAGUCAAGCUGCAUUUUCUCUUGUGUUGCAAUUCUUUUGAUUGAACUGCUAUUUACCUGUUAUAUAUAGGACCGAAGCCCUAUAUAUAGGAAACUGGUUUAAUAUUCUCCCAUUGAAGGCACCAAUCCUGCCUUACAUUUACAUCAUUUUAUUCUUUACAAAAAUGCCUCUCAACUGAAGUGCCGCUUUAGAAAUUUUGUUGCUCUAGGUCUUGCCACUUUAGCUUGGCUUAACAUUUGCGUUUAACCUUCCUUUGCCUUUAACCUCUUGCAGUGUGUCCCUCUGGCAGAUUUGCAUUGGUGAAAUUUAAGCGUGGUCCAGACACCCACACUAAGUUUUAUAUGGUCGCUUUAUACCUGCCAGUGCAGUUCGCUAUUAGUGUAUUACUCAAUUCAGGUCAGUCGCGCAACUGUCCACUCAGUUUAGUCUGUGAUGCAUUGCAGUGCUUAAUUGUAAAGCAACCUCAUUAAAGGAACCUUAAACGGGCUUUAGCUGCACUAGUGUCAAACAUUCGAAACAGUAAAAUAUAUUCCUUUAUGCCCUUGCAUGCGCAUGCUUACGUCACUUUCAGAGGUAUCUACCCUCAACAGGUGCACAAUGGUACACCGUGCGGAUGUCUACCUCCGCUUGCUGCAGAACAAAGCUGAAGUGAAAACUUAUAUCAUGUUGAUGCUCAAUGCAUCAAUUCUUGCUGCAAAGGAGGCUUCCCUCGGGAACGGCAGCAGCAGCCACAGCCACAGCAGGGCAUUGCUACAGGAUUGCACUACAGCUGUCACUCGUGUGGCUACCAGACCAGGCGCAAGGACAACAUGGAAAAGCACGUGCGUGUGCACACAAAAGAGCGGCCAUUUGCAUGCCGUCACUGUGGUAGGACGUUCAGUGACCCCUGCAACCAGCGGCGCCAUGAGCGCAGGCACACUGGUGCCUGUUACCGUUGUGUGAUCUGUUCUCGCACAUUCAUGCGCAAAAAGUACCUGACGGACCACUUAAAGACACACUAGAGAAUAAGAGAACCCCCCAGGUUCACAUGUCACUGCUGCAGCGAUUGAUCAAUAAGUUCUAAUAAACUAUUGCGGAAUGGUGAUGGCAGAUAGUCGAAGCACAGGAAGCGAUAGCAAGGGCUAGCCCAGUGCUCUAGCUUCUUGUACGGUGUUGUAACAAUAUAGGUGGAGGCGUCAUGUUGGCACGGCACAGCAUGAGGCAACCGCUGCUGCACACGAGAAACAGCACCCUGGCAGCUAUUGCGCAUCUUGCAACAUUCUCGUCAUGAGGAGCACUGGCAGCGGUGUUGUAGGCACUGAUGGAAAACCAUUGGCAUUUGUCAGUGUCCAAGGAAAGAAUUAGAUGGUUUCAAUUUGAGAUGUGCUGUUUAUUCCACUUGGACCAGUUUAUGCACUACGGUGUGGUCUAGUGACCAUGUGUGUUCUUACAACACUCGUGCCAACAGUGGAAGGCAGAACACUGCCCCGGCUCCCCUGCAGAGCAGAUUAAACAAAUCGUGGCAGCGCGCCCACUUGGCUGGGUCGCUUUUGCAGCUAAACACAAUGUGUGUUGCUUAAGUCUAUGGAGGCCUUUUAACCCUGCGCACGUGGGUCCCACAUGCACCGUCGAUAACAUGGCAGUAUGGCGGUGCCGACAGCAACAGAACACGUGCCCAGAGUGCCUGUAUAAUUGCUAUCGCAAUAAAAGGAAAGGUCAGAGAUGUAUAAGCGGCAUGUGGGAAGAAGAAUCGGCAAGGUGUUGGUAUCAUGUUAAGGAUUCCAGUUUCAUAUGUAGGAUAGUGGUGGGUCAGGAGUAAUUUCUGGGUCUCUGUUUUCGAAUUAAUCAACAUACCAUGGUACGACCACUAUUAGCUAGGCAUCACCACUAUGCCAGGCGACUUGGCUGUGGUGGUGGGCCCCAUAAUGAGAACCUGCCCAGGAGCACGAGGGACAGUGGCAACACUUACACUCUAGAAAGGGAAAGGACAUGUACUCAUGCCCUGAUGGAAAGGCGAGAGUACACGGUUGGACUGUAUGUGUACGUUAGGCCCCAAGUUCUGUUGAAUGACCAUUAAAAAAUAAAAUGCUUCUUAGACUUUUUCUAACAAAGCAGGUGGAUAGCUAUGUUAUUUGUAAAAUAGUUAGCCAGUGGCAUGGCUAUAAAACUCAAUGUCCUUGCACCAAGCUCGAAUGAGUGCAACGUGUCUCCCUAUCAUUUGAUAGACGGACAAUAAUUGAAUGGCUGCUUCGAAUUCCAAAAAGCCAUUCAAUAACCAAUCACGCUUGAAUGAGUGCAACGUGUCUCCCAUAUCAUUUGAUAGGCAGACAAUAGUUGAAUGGCUGCUUUGAAUUCCAAGAAGCCAUUCAAUAACUAGCCUUUGUAUGCAAAUCCUCUUAUUACUCCCAUUUUGCACUGACGCCAGUCCAUGUUCACGCAUAAUCAGCUGAUGCAACCCGGCACCCAUAUAGCACAAUCCUAUCUCCACCAAUACUACCAACUGCAUUAACUAUAGCUCACAGGCCACAAUACAAUGCCUGAGUGACUGUAAUGCAAUAUGUGGGGUACAAGAAGAGGUAAUCUAUUAUUGUGAUAGCAAUAUUAUAUGGGCACUCAAGGCAUAUUCAUGCCAUCACUGCUAUCGUGCUGUCACGGUAUCGAUGGCACAUGCACAAAGAACACUGGGAUGUCUAAAAAAGACCGGCAGUGGAUUUAGCUGCAAAAACAAUGAAGCCAAGUCGACACUCUUUCACAUACACCACUCAAUCGGCUCUGCAGCGUAGCCAGGGCAGCGUUCUGCCUUCCACUGCUGGCAUGAGUGUUGUGCACAAAAACUAGAAGUCCUGCUGAGCAGCUGUGAGUGUACCACACCGUGGUGCGUACAAUAGUCUGAGCAGAACAUACAGUACACUUCAAGCUACAAACUCUUGACAGUUUCAUCAGGCCAUAUGUAAUUAGCCCUUUUGUGGCAUGCCAGCAUCACUGCUAGCAGAAAGAAAACAGUUCUUGGCCUAUCAGUGCACUAAAAUUGGUGGAAUCCAUGGUGGCAUAAAGCUAGCGACAUAAGUAAAUGGCAAAUGGGUCACAUGUCACCAGCCUCGCGCCGCCUCUGAUAGGCAAUUUGAAUCAACCUGAUGCAUAGUCUCUAUCUGCCAGACAAUCACGCCUACUGUUCUGUGCCAUGCAGCAAAAGGCACCUGGUAGGAAAAGUGGAACAUGUUCUUGCAUCUUUCCAUUCUGUGCAAAUGUGAGCAUGCACACAAGAAAGGUGCAAGGAAGGAAGCCCCAAGGAGUGUGGAGAUGCAGUGCUGAUGAGCAUCCUUCCGAAGGGGCCAUUAUCCUGAAAGGCAACCAAAAGCCCCACGAAUAGCUCAUGUGAAUCUUGUACAGCAUAACUCACUGGUUUGUGGGCUGUCACAUAGGCUGGGCAGUAACCAAGCUUCAGAACUUCAUCUGCAGUUUUGUCAAAUAUUCUGUUCCAGACUUUAGGGUAUGGUCCUUAUGCAAGUUUAGCUUUACUACCAUAUUCCAGUUCUUUUUGCAGAAACCCAGAUACAAAAAAGCAUUAAAACAUGUGGAACGUAUAACCUCUUUCACUUGCAAUGAAAAUGUAAGGUAUUCAAGAAAAACUGCUUUAAAUUCAGUGAAACAAGGGUUGGUUUAAAAUGGUACACAUCAAUACAGCACAUGUGGCUCUCAUUAGCCAUCAAAUCUAAACAGUGACGUGCACCAAGUUCGCAGUGGCAUUGGCAGAAACAUACUCCACAGCAGAUAAAUAACUUUUCUUUAUUUGUUCUUGUUCGAGAAUAAAGAGUCUGCAUCGUUUUUCUCUUGUA